GGCCCUAUACACGAACCUACAAGCACAAACCAUAAUUACAGUAGCACCAAAAUCCCCAUUCCAAGUGAGCAAUGGAACGAGACAGGGCUGCCCCCUGUCCCCACUCCUAUUUGCGAUAGUUCUUGAGCCACUUCUACACCUCAUCCGAGCUAACCCAAACAUAAAAGGAGUGCACUUAGGAGAUGAACAAUUCAAAGUAGCUGCAAAUGCAGAUGACAUACUCCUAACGCUCACAGACCCGACCCGAUCAAUGGCAAACCUAGAAAAGCUACUGCAGACAUAUGGAGACGUAUCAGGAUACAAAGUCAACCUCACUAAAUCGACGGCACUGACGUUCCAUAUACCUGACCGGGAGGCACAACACAUCAGACACACCUACCAUAUCAAAACCAACACAGACACACUCACGUAUCUAGGCGUCAGACUCACAGCAGAUCACAGCACACUAUUUAAACAUACUUACACUCCGCUGAUCACGAAACUCAAGACGGACUUAGAAACCUGGACAGACAAACCC